CAUGUCGCAUCCAUCCAUUCCAUCCCGCCACCACACAACCACCUGGUCUCCCGCUUCCUCGGGAUCCUGCCUGAUCCAUACAUCCAGUCGAUCCCGCAGCUCCCUCCACCAACCACAACCGCCACCUCUUGAUCCCCAUCCGCGCCAACCACCAGCCAGAUGCAAUCCAGCCUUAGUUGCCUUCUCCAUCCUCGGACAGUGAGAUCCAACAUGCCCCGAGCUCCACGCGCCCAGCGCCCGAGCCCCACAGACGAGCGUCUCCCGCUCCCUCCUCGAUCCAGAUCGAGAAGAGCUCGAUCCCGAGCUCCGCGACCUCGCCGUACCUCCUCCUCGCCUCGUCGCCAACGAGCCGCCUCGCCAGAGCACGCCGCCAGGGAACCAGGAGCCCGCCAUGGCCGCCUGAAGGAGCUUCUUCGGUGUUGUUUUGCACCCGAUCCGGUCGGAAAAGGACGGAUCCAUCUUCCCCAUGUUCGUCCCAUGCCUCUUUGCCUCGACGGAGUCGCCAAGAAGCCGACCCUCGUCCACCACGUCCUUUCCAUCGCGUUGUCGCGCCAAGUUCCCCUGCAUCCCGCUGCCUCCUCUGCUUGGAUCCAACCGAGCCGUUGCUCGCGUUCGCCGCCUAGGCCCCGUGCCUCCUCAAGGCCCAGCCUACCCCAGCUCGCUCGCCAGACCGACCUGCCUCUCCACCGCGUUGAGCCUCGGCCCGCAUGUGAAACCCCAAGAACGAUAUGGAUGUGAAUGAAAAGGGUACUUUUUAUUAGUCUUAUAGUGGCCUGACAUGCUAUCAAAUUUUUUUAGUAUCUAAAAAGGCAGACCAGUUUUGCAAUGUAUAUUUACAUUUUUCAUUACAUUUGGUCUUAAGAUUUUACAUUGUUUUGCCAGGACAGUUUCACUUCAUGUAGCUACUACACCAGGAGAAUUGUAUCCUUGCGCUGAGGAAAAUGUUAUGCCGACCGUGGCCAAGUGCCCUGAACUCACCUAUGCCUGGUAAUCGUGGUGUGAGCUGAAGGUAAAAGGCAAAGCCUAAAGGUAGGCAAUCAUCAUUAGCUAGGUAGUCGAUUAUACAGUACUAGUUGACACGUUGCGCCAAAUGGCGCAGAGACCCGCUAAAGUCAUGUUGUCGAUGAAAAUAGUUCCAUUUUGCAAGGACAUAUUCGAUAUUGGUAGUAGAAAGCUCAUGUGUUAAACCAUGCUAUAUUGAAAAUAUGGUUAUGUGCUUGAAAA